AGCCUGCAACUCGGCUGCAUGAAGCUGGAAUCGCUAGUAAUCGCGGAUCAGAAUGCCGCGGUGAAUACGUUCCCGGGUCUUGUACACACCGCCCGUCACACCAUGGGAGCCGGGAAUGCCCGAAGUCAGUGGCCCAACCGCAGGGAGGGAGCUGCCGAAGGCAGGCCCGGUGACUGGGGUGAAGUCGUAACAAGGUAGC
rnacentral:rRNA from 1 species